GGUCGCUUCUCGCAGGCGGCGCGCUUGCUGGGUCACAGUGAGGCGGCUCCGCGCAGGCGCAGCCGGGCGGGCGAGGAGCGGGGAAGCUGACUCAGGGCUGCGGCCGGGGUCCUGCGGGGUAGGAGCGCGAGGCCGGCCUGAGGGAGGAGGCCUAGCGACCCAUCCGGCGCCUCCCGCCCCGGGCACCCGCCCGCGGCCGCGCAUCCUGCGGGCCCCAGGAGGCCUCCAUCUCAAAACAACGUGUUUUUAGAGAACUCAAGGGCUGUGAAAAGAGCAGGACCUCACCAGCUGCACGGCGGUGGUGACUGGCUCCAUCUUGCUGUCCCUCCCAAUCACACAACAUCUCCCCUUGAAGGCUCUGCCCAGGCCCGGACUCCCACCUUUCAAGAUGUCUGGAUCAGUGCAGGACCUCCUCCUUGGCCACAUCGCUCUCCUUGGACUGGUUCGUUAACCCUGUUUUACCCACAGCUGGAGUGCAAUGACUCGGUCUCGGCUCAUUGCAACCUCCGCCUUGCAGGUUCAAGUGAUUCUCCCACCUCAGCCUCCCAAGUAGGAUUACAGGUACACACCACCACGCACAGCUAAUUGUUUUGUAUUUUAGGAAGAGAUGGGGUUUCAUCAUGUUAGCCAGGCUGGUCAGGUGAUCCAUCCGCCUUGGCCUCCCCAAGUGCUGGGAUUACAGGCGUGAGGCACUGUGCCCGGCCUGCCCCCCUUUUCUCUUGAUGCACAUGACAGCCUUCUUGCAAUCAAGAAACUACGUGUGGCCAGGAUCUCAUCCACUAUCACAGUUUCAGCUUUCCCCAAACUGGAAUGUGUCUUUGCAGACGCCCAUCCUUAUUAAAGGGCAAAGACUUCUCAUACACCUAGGAUGGAUCUUAUAUUCUUGGCGGGACUGCAGAGAAGGUGCCGUGUCCUGAGUCCUCAUGUCAGGGCACAGGCUUCCAGCCAGUUCUACCUGGGUUAUGUUUAUCUCAAUUCCCUGGUGGUAUUGGUGUCUGCUGGGUUUUGCCAGAAUGAAGACACCGUGUUUUCAUUUGUCAGUUGAUUCGUAUUUUCCAGGAAGACAUUCUGAGAUUACAGCAUUGUCUUAGUCAAGGUGCUGCAGAAGGACAGAACUAAUAGGAUAUAUGUACAUAUGAAAGAAAGUUUAUGAAGAACUGGCUCACACCAUCACAAGGCAAAGUCCCAUGACAGGCCAUCUGCAAGCUGAGGAGCGAGGAAGCCAGCAGUGGCUCAGCCGGAGUCCAACAGCCUCAAACGGAAUCCAACAGUUCAGGCUUCAGUCUGUGGCCAAAUGCCCAGAGACCCCGGAAAGCUACUGGUGUUAGUCCCAGAGCCGGAAGGCCAAAGAACCUGGAGUGUGAUGUCCAAGGGCAGGAGGAAUGGACAGAAGCAUCCAGCAUGGGGUAAAGACGAAAGCCAGAAGACUCAGCAAGCUAGCUUACCUACUUUCUUCUGCCUGCCUUGUUCUAGCCGCGCUGGCAGCCGGUUGGAGGGUGCCCACCCCCACUGAGGGUGGAUCUUCCUCUCCUAGUCCACUGACUCAAAUUUCAGUCUCUCUGGGAGCACCAUCACACCAGAAACAAUACCAGCCAUCUAGCCACCCUUCAGUUCACCAUCACAACCAUUGUCUUAUUCAUGAAACUUCUGCAGACCCACCUUAACCUCCAUCGGUGACUUCUACCUGAAGCCCUCUGAUUGUUGCCCAGUGGUGCUUUUUAAAAUAAUUUCCAUAGUUUCUUCUACACCUUUAGUUGGCAUUCUACUGUAAAGGAGAGAUUUUAUUUUCUUACUCAUUUAUUUGUUAGUUUAUAGUCACCACCAUAUGGAUGCAGAGUUCUGUCUCAUUCACUGGGAAGUAUUCUAUUGCAGUCAUGAUUUAUUUUGAUGUUCACAUCCCAGAGUUGGUGAGUGAGCGCCCCUUCACGCUGGCUCCCGAGUGCUGACGUGUCCCCGUCCUUCUCUGCACUUUUCCUUACCUCCUGGCCUCAGAUAUUCCAGGGUCAUUUGUUCUCUCCCUGCUCCAACCCUGCAGUCAGCCAUCUCCCUAGGGACGUUGGUUCCUUUAUGGAAGGUGGCAUUUAGAAGCCAGGAUUUGGGCUGAGCACUGUGGCUCAUGCUUGUAAUCCCAGCACUUGGGGAGGCCGAAGUGGGCGGAUCGCUGGAGGCCAAGAGUCUGAGACCAGCCUGGCUAACAUGGUGAAACCCUUCCCCGUCUCUACUACAAAUAAAAAAUUAGCUGGGUGUGUUGGCACGUGCCUGUAAUCCCAGUUACUCAGGAGGCUGAAGCACCAGAAUCUCUUGAACCCAGGAGGCCGAGGUUGCAGUGAGCCAAGAUUGCACCACUGCACUACAGCUUGGGUGACAGCGCGAGACACCGUCUCAAAAAGGAUAAUAAUUUAAAAAACAGCAGGAUUUGGGUGAGCAGUGCGCUCAUUGCUUCUGGGCUCUCUCGGUGGACAUAGGCUAGGAAUGUAAGAUGUAUGUGCCUGUGUAUAUACACACGUCUGUAGCUAUGUCUAUGUUGCAUACAUGUGUUUUUCCAAAAACCAAAUCCAUAACCAUGCCUUCAGUUUCAGCCCAACACCUCCGGGCUCUUUCUAGCUUUCUACCUUUCAUGAUUGUGAAUACCUUCUCCAGCAGUGAGAAACCUGGCUCCUUUGUCCUCAGUGGAUUUUCUUAUUUGCUCAAUUUUUUUGUUUUUUGUUUUGUUUUUGUUUUUGAGACAGAGUCUUGUUCUGUCACCCAAGCUGGAGUGCAGUGGCAUAAUCUCGGCUUACCGCAACCUCUGCCUCCUGG
rnacentral:lncRNA from 10 species